AACAGGAUUAGAUACCCUGGUAGUCCACGCCGUAAACGAUGUCGACUUGGAGGUUGUGCCCUUGAGGCGUGGCUUCCGGAGCUAACGCGUUAAGUCGACCGCCUGGGGAGUACGGCCGCAAGGUUAAAACUCAAAUGAAUUGACGGGGGCCCGCACAAGCGGUGGAGCAUGUGGUUUAAUUCGAUGCAACGCGAAGAACCUUACCCACUCUUGACAUCCAGAGAACUUUCCAGAGAUGGAUUGGUGCCUUCGGGAACUCUGAGACAGGUGCUGCAUGGCUGUCGUCAGCUCGUGUUGUGAAAUGUUGGGUUAAGUCCCGCAACGAGCGCAACCCUUAUCCUUUGUUGCCAGCGGUUAGGCCGGGAACUCAAAGGAGACUGCCAGUGAUAAACUGGAGGAAGGUGGGGAUGACGUCAAGUCAUCAUGGCCCUUACGAGUAGGGCUACACACGUGCUACAAUGGCGCAUACAAAGAGAAGCGACCUCGCGAGAGCAAGCGGACCUCAUAAAGUGCGUCGCAGUCCGGAUUGGAGUCUGCAACUCGACUCCAUGAAGUCGGAAUCGCUAGUAAUCGUAGAUCAGAAUGCUACGGUGAAUACGUUCCCGGGCCUUGUACACACCGCCCGUCACACCAUGGGAGUGGGUUGCAAAAGAAGUAGGUAGCUUAACCUUCGGGAGGGCGCUUACCACUUUGUGAUUCAUGACUGGGGUGAAGUCGUAACAAGGUAACC
rnacentral:rRNA from 1 species